CCAACGGCCCUUUUUAGGGCCACCUAAUUGUUUUAGAAAAUAUGCCU
rfam:Crassostrea gigas strain 05x7-T-G4-1.051#20 contig16337, whole genome shotgun sequence.